UACGAAGGGGGCUAGCGUUGCUCGGAAUCACUGGGCGUAAAGGGUGCGUAGGCGGGUCUUUUAAGUCAGGGGUGAAAUCCUGGAGCUCAACUCCAGAACUGCCUUUGAUACUGAAGAUCUUGAGUCCGGGAGAGGUGAGUGGAACUGCGAAGUGUAGAGGUGAAAUUCGUAGAUAUUCGCAAGAACACCAGUGGCGAAGGCGGCUCACUGGCCCGGUACUGACGCUGAGGCACGAAAGCGUGGGGAGCAAACAGG
rnacentral:rRNA from 1 species